rnacentral:rRNA from 1 species
AGUUUAUUAUUUAAGGUCUGGCCUGCCCAAUGAUUAAAUUUAAUGGCCGCAGUAUUUUGACUGUGCAAAGGUAGCAUAAUCAUUAGUUUUUUAAUUAGGAACUGGAAUGAAUGGUYGGAUGAGGAAAGAGCUGUYUCAGGUUAAUUUUCAAGGAAUUUUAUUUUUAAGUUAAAAAGCUUAAAUUUUGUUUAAAGACGAGAAGACCCUAUAGAGUUUUAUAAUAAUAAAUUUUUAAUUGUUAAGAAUUUUUUAAUUUUAAGUUAAUUUAUUAUUUUGUUGGGGUGAUGGAAAAAUUUAUUUAACUUUUUUUUUUAUUGUACACUAGUUUGU